GGGAAAAGAUUCUGUCUUCUUUGAACUUAAGACGUAGUGCAAUAGUUGGUGCUGAAACCCGGAAAAUGAAAGAAUGAAAGACGAAAAGUUCAAUAGUUUGCACACAACCCAGAAAAGAGGAACAAUGGCUGAAAUGGAUCGUCUGAAAAAGAAGAGAACUCCACUUCGCUCCUCUGUGACCAAAAUACUGAGUAAGAUUGAUGAUGAACUUUCUAAAUCACAAUUUGAUGUUGACGUUUUGGAAGAGUUGCUGGAGCAAUUAAAAGAAAAAUAAGAAUGUUUGGACAAAAUAGACAAAGAACUGGAGGACGUAACCAAAACUGAUGAUUUGGAGGAGGAGGUUUCAAGAGUUUUGGAGUAUAAGUGUAGCAGAGAGAAUCUGAGUGCAGAGGCUGUGAGCUGUGCAGCCUCUUAAAAGUAGGUCAACUCCUCCCCCUCCAGAUUGGCAGAGCCUACUUAAGCCACCUGUGGCAGUUUAGCUGCCUCUUUCUCCUUUGUCUUUGCCUGGUGGCUGCCACAUGGUCAGACCUGAGUGUCCUUCCUGGUUGUGCACUUUUACCUGGUCAUCUUGGUGUCCACUGAAUCAAGUGGUGUUAAGCAGGAUCAGCGGACAGCUGGGUAAAUGUAGCUACCUGGGCAGGUAUGAGAAGCUGCAUAUUGUCAACAGGAAGUGUCUGAAAUUAUUACAUCUUUUACGACAGCGUAAUGAUUUUGGUUUCCUUCUAUAUUUCAGUCACGAUCAGCUGCUGUUUUGUCUUGUUUUGUCCUUAGUUUUGUCUUGUUUUGUCCUGUCUUGUUUUGUCCUUAGUUUUGUCUUG